rnacentral:misc_RNA from 1 species
AGCAUUUGCCACAAGUAAAGAUCUGUCCAUAAGAUAGCAGUAUAUUUUCAGGCAUUUAAUGGCAGUACUUAUCUGGUUUUAAUAUUGCCUCACUUGUCAAAACUCAUCAAACUAUUCAAUCACCAUAACUUGCAAAUUAUCAUCAUUUGUAUCCCCGUUUAUUUUCUUUAUUUCGAUGCCUAUAGCUUUUUUUUCAUAUUUUUUUUUUAAUUUUUACAAAACCAUUUGAAAAAGCACAAUGGGAUGAGUUGUACUGCAAAUUCCUUAAUU